UUCUGCAGCUGUGACACCUGUAACUGUGUCAGUGUAAGAGCAAAGCCAAGCAAAAGCUGGUAGUACCAGUAGUUGAAUGGGAGACCUCAAAGGAAAGCACCAGUGUUGCUGAAA
rnacentral:rRNA from 1 species